rnacentral:rRNA from 1 species
AGUGGGGAUAUUGGACUAUGGGCGAAAGCCUGAUCCAGCAAUGCCGCGUGAGUGAUGAGGCCUUCGGGUUGUAAACCUCUUUUACCAGGGACGAUACUGACGGGACCGGGAGAAUAAGCUCCGGCUAACUCCGUGCCAGCCGCCCGCGGUAA